AUGCAGUCGACGAGAAGUCACUUCGGUGGUGAUUAAAGUGGCGCACGGGUGAGUAACGCGUAGACAAUCUGCCCUUCAGUCUGGGACAACUUUUCGAAAGGAGAGCUAAUACCGGAUAACAAUGUUUGACAUAAGUUAAAUAUUUGAAAGCUUUAUGUGCUGAAGGAGGGGUCUGCGUCCCAUUAGCUAGUUGGUGAGGUAAAGGCUUACCAAGGCAACGAUGGGUAACGGGUUUGAGAGGACGAUCCGUCACACUGGAACUGAGACACGGUCCAGACUCCUACGGGAGGCAGCAGUGGGGAAUAUUGCACAAUGGAGGAAACUCUGAUGCAGCAAUGUCGCGUGAGUGAAGAAGGCCCUUGGGUCGUAAAGCUCUUUUAUGGGGGAAGAUGAUGACGGUACCCCAGGAAUAAGCACCGGCUAACUACGUGCCAGCAGCCGCGGUAAUACGUAGGGUGCGAGCGUUGUUCGGAAUUACUGGGCGUAAAGGGCGCGCAGGCGGAAUAGCAAGUCGGAGGUGAAAGCCCGGGGCUCAACCCCGGAGGGUCUUUCGAAACUGCUAAUCUAGAGAGGGUCAGGGGCCAGCAGAAUUCCUGGUGUAGAGGUGAAAUUCGUAGAUAUCAGGAGGAAUACCGGUGGCGAAAGCGGCUGGCUGGGGCCACUCUGACGCUGAGGCGCGAAAGCGUGGGGAGCAAACGGGAUUAGAUACCCCGGUAGUCCACGCCGUAAACGAUGAGCACUGGACGUCCGGAGGGUUCGACCCUUCUGGGUGUUUCAGCUAACGCAUUAAGUGCUCCGCCC
rnacentral:rRNA from 1 species